UUCUUUUUUUUCGCUUUUCCCACUGGCCAUUGCUAAGGAAAGAUCAAGAGGGAACAGAUGUCCUCAUAAUGAUGAGCGGAUCUUUGACCUUGUAAGGACCUUUGGCUGAAUCCCAUGAGGAAAAUCUCUUUGUUGUAGAGCUGUCGAUUUUUAUUGCCGUCCCAUCCACAUACACUGAACCGAGUCUUGAUCGCGGGAGGAACAUAUCCAGUCUUCGGGAUCACAGUACAGCACGUGCAAGACAGCACUGAUGACAAUCUGGGCAAAGUGUAAAGAGAAUGGUCACGGGGAUCUACUGGAGCCUAUCCCAGCACACAUUGGGCGAAAGGCAGGGGUACACCCUGGACAGGUCACCAGUCCAUCACAGGGCUAAUAUAAUAUGAUAUGAUAUGAUAUGAUAUGAUAUGAUAUGAUAUGAUAUGAUAUGAUAUGAUAUGAUAUGAUAUGAUAUGAUAUGAUAUGAUAUGAUAUGAUAUGAUAUGAUAUGAUAAGUUGCAGUAAUGAGUUAAUAAGUCGCAAUAAUGAAUAAGUUGCAAUAACAAGUUAGUGAGUCGCAAUAACGAGUCAAUAAGUCGCAAUAAUGAAUAAGUUGCAAUAACAAGUUAGUGAGUCGCAAUAAUGAGUUAAUACGUUCCAAUAAUGAAUAAGUGACAAUAACAAAUUAGAAAGUUGCAAUCCCGAGUUAAUAAGUCGCAAUAACAAGUUAAUAAGUCACAAUAACGAGUUAAUAAGUCUCAAUAAUGAGUUAAUGAGUCACAAUAACAAGUUAAUAAGUCACAAUAACGAGUUAAUAAGUCACAAUAACAAGUUAAUAAGUCACAAUAACGAGUUAAUAAGUCUCAAUAAUGAGUUAAUGAGUCACAAUAACGAGUUAAUAAGUCGCAAUAACGAGUUAAUAAGUCACAAUAACGAGUUAAUAAGUCGCAAUAACAAGUUAAUAAGUCGCAAUAACAAGUUAAUAAGUCGUAAUAAUGAAUAAGUUGCAAUAACAAGUUAUUGAGUCGAAAUAACAAGUUAAUAAGUUAGUGGCUAUAAUGAGUCAUAAUAACAUCUCAUGAAGUUGCAAUAAUGAGUUAGUAAGUUGCAAUAAUAAAACAGUGACUUACCAAGUGACUGAAAUGAUAAGGAAAUAAUGAGAUUCUACGUCAAAAAAACAACACAUCUUCCAGUUCAGGAUGUCUUUACCAGAUAAACAAACAGCAACAUAAAACAAAUGUUGCGGCAUACAUGUCUGAGAUAUUGACUGUUGACCCUGAUCUAACGGCAGCUGUGUGAGAUUGAAUUGUGAAAGGCAGUGGGCUUUGUCUAAUAGCAGGUUGUAAGCUGUUGCAGAGUAUAGAGUCAUAGAGCACAAAUGCCUGGUCACCCUUGAGUUUUAAUGAUGACCUUGGAACAGCUAGUAGAUUUCAUGAGGAGACCAGAAGCCUCUUUUGAACAAUUAAAGGUGAUAGUAACAGGACAAUACAAAGAGGAGGCAGAACAUUAAAAGCUUUACAGACAACUCUAAAAUGAACUGGGAGCCAGUGAAGUGAAGCGAGUGUACUCUUUCAGCCUGGGAGCAACCAAGCAGCAGCAUUUAGUACUAACUAUACACUCUUACAAAAAAAGAAAGGUUCCUCGGGGUUCUAUAUAGAACCUUGGGGAUAUUAUGGUCAAUAGAACCUUUCCCCCCAAAAAAAUGGUUCUAUGUGGAACCACUGGAGGUGAAGCAUUUAUAUAAAUUAAAUUAAAUUAAAUUAAACUAAAUUAAUGUAUUUUCUAUAUUAAAUCUUAAAACAUCAGUCCCAUUAUUUUUUGGAAUUGUAUCUAUAUAUAUGUAUAUAACACUGCAAAAUGUUUUGAAAUCCUGUUUUUAUGAAUGACAUUUUAGAUUUUAUAUUAAGAUAAAGAAAAUUCACACCAAAAUGAAAGUCAGAACUCUUCAGUAAGUGCGAGGAGUUUUUCUUUUAUAAAUACUAUACACAAUUUAUUUACAUCAAGUUGUUGUUUUUGUUGAAUAAAUUUAUACUGUGUAGAAUUUGCUGUAUUUGCUGUAUAAUAUUUAAGGUUAAAACAUACAUAUAGCUUCUAAGUUUAACAAUAGCUCUCUAUCCAAGCAGAACCCACCCCCCCCCACCCCCCAUGCCGGAUAGAUCGCAUGCCGCGCUCGUGCAGUAAUGCUGCAAUGACUUAAUGCCGUCAAGAACAUGUUUUCACAUUCACAGGAGUGUAACCCAACUUACCAUAACAAGCGGUGACCUUCUGAUGAAGCCCUCAUGCUUAACAAUGGAGAAGGUAAACAUUACUUGGAAUUCAGCCCUUAGCAUGGUGCAACACUGGGCAAAAACAAUGGAAAUAUUUACGUA